rnacentral:lncRNA from 1 species
UAAACUGAAAUACAUCAACAGUCCAUAAGAGUCUAUGUGUAUGUCUAUUAUCCAUAUGACAUAAAGCAAAGAAUAACAUCAACUACAUUUACUUAACUACAAUCUAUCAAAUUAAACAACAUAUAGUCUAUCAAUGAACAUAAAUCUGCGAACAUUUUUCAUUUCAACUUCUCUUUCCAGUUACAUCAAAGUGAGCUCAUAAACGUUUAUCUGGUAUGUAGAACAAAAAAAUGGAGUAAGCAAUCAGCAGCAUCAAACAUAAAAAAUACAGCAGCAGAAAGCCCAACACAGUAGCUUCAACACCUCAAUCCAAAAAAUCCUAGCAACACGGAGAAAAUCAGUAAAAAUGGAGAAGAAAAAUAGUCCGAAAAUCUCUCUUUAUUUUCUAUUUCUAGCUUUGGUCUCUCUAGUGUUCUUCUGCUUUCAAUAUUUCAGAAAAUUUCGUUUUUAUCUUUUUACUCUCUCCAAAAUGAAUUUUGCCUCUGUAUAUUAAGUGUAUCCCAAGGAUAUAUUGAGUGUAUACUGUUCUCUCCGUCCUCUUCUUUUUUCUUCUCCACUUUUUUUUUCUCCUCGUCUU